rnacentral:rRNA from 1 species
ACAUGCCUGCAAUGUAGCAUUAAUGCAUUGGAUCCCAUUAGAACUCCACAGUUAAGUGCACUCAGACUAAAGUAGUAUUGGGAUGGGUGAAUGUCCAGGAAGUCCUAGUGUUUUACAUGCC